AGAGUUUGAUCCUGGCUCAGAUUGAACGCUGGCGGCACGCUUAACACAUGCAAGUCGAGCGGUAACAUGAUAGUAGCUUGCUACUAUUGAUGACGAGCGGCGGACGGGUGAGUAAUGCGUAGGUAUCUACCUCAUAGUGGGGGAUAACCCGGGGAAACUCGGGCUAAUACCGCAUGAGCUCUACGGAGGAAAGCUAGGGGUAACUCUGGCGCUAUGAGAUGAGCCUACGUCGGAUUAGCUAGUUGGUGGGGUAAAGGCUUACCAAGGCGAUGAUCUGUAGCUGGUCUGAGAGGACGGACAGCCACACUGGGACUGAGACACGGCCCAGACUCCUACGGGAGGCAGCAGUGGGGAAUAUUGGACAAUGGGGGCAACCCUGAUCCAGCGAUGCCGCGUGUGAAGAAGGCCUGCGGGUUGUAAAGCACUUUAGUUGGGGAGGAAGGUUAGAUGGUUAAGAGCUGUUUAAUUUGACGUUACCCAAAGAAUAAGCACCGGCUAACUCUGUGCCAGCAGCCGCGGUAAUACAGAGGGUGCAAGCGUUAAUCGGAAUUACUGGGCGUAAAGGGCGCGUAGGCGGAUAAUCAAGCUGGAUGUGAAAGACCCGGGCUUAACCUGGGGGUGUCAUUCAUAACUGGUUAUCUAGAGUAUAGGAGAGGAGAGUGGAAUUCACAGUGUAGCGGUGAAAUGCGUAGAUAUUGUGAGGAACAUCGAUGGCGAAGGCAGCUCUCUGGCCUAAUACUGACGCUGAGGCGCGAAAGCAUGGGUAGCGAACAGGAUUAGAUACCCUGGUAGUCC
rnacentral:rRNA from 1 species